AACGAACGCUGGCGGCAGGCUUAACACAUGCAAGUCGAACGCCCCGCAAGGGGAGUGGCAGACGGGUGAGUAACGCGUGGGAAUCUACCUAGUUCUACGGAACAACAGUUGGAAACGACUGCUAAUACCGUAUACGCCCCACGGGGGAAAGAUUUAUCGGAAUUAGAUGAGCCCGCGUAAGAUUAGCUAGUUGGUGGGGUAAUGGCCUACCAAGGCGACGAUCUUUAGCUGGUCUGAGAGGAUGAUCAGCCACACUGGGACUGAGACACGGCCCAGACUCCUACGGGAGGCAGCAGUGGGGAAUAUUGGACAAUGGGCGCAAGCCUGAUCCAGCCAUGCCGCGUGAGUGAUGAAGGCCUUAGGGUUGUAAAGCUCUUUCACCGAUGAAGAUAAUGACGGUAGUCGGAGAAGAAGCCCCGGCUAACUUCGUGCCAGCAGCCGCCGUAAAAC
rnacentral:rRNA from 1 species